rnacentral:rRNA from 1 species
UACAGAGGUCCCGAGCGUUGUUCGGAUUCACUGGGCGUAAAGGGUGCGUAGGUGGUGAGGUAAGUCGGAUGUGAAAUCUCCAGUCUCAACCUGGAAACUGCAUUGGAAACUACCUUGCUGGAGGAUUUGAGGGGGGAUUGGAAUACUUGGUGUAGCAGUGAAAUGCGUAGAUAUCAAGUGGAACACCAGUGGCGAAGGCGGCUCACUGGAUCGGUACUGACGCUGAGGUGCGAAAGCGUGGGGAGCAAACAGG